GGAGGGGCCUGUGGCCGAUUAGCUAGCUGGUGGGGUAAGAGCUCACCAGGGCGACGAUCGGUAGCUGGUCUGAGAGGACGAGCAGCCACACUGGGAUUGAGAACGGCCCAGACUCCUACGGGGGGCAGCAGUGAGGAAUUUUCCGCAAUGGGGGCAACCCUGACGGAGCAACGCCGCGUGCAGGAGGACGGCCUUCGGGUUGUAAACUGCUUUUCUCGCCGACGAGGCAAGGACGGUAGGCGAGGAAGAAGCCCCGGCUCACUACGUGCCAGCAGCCGCGGUAAUACGUAGGGGGCGAGCGUUGUCCGGAGUUACUGGGCGUAAAGGGCCCGCAGGCGGUUCGGCGCGUGUCCGGUGCCAGCUCGCUGCUUAACGGCGGGAGUGCCGGGCAGACGGUCGGACUGAGAGGACCUCAGAGGGACAUAGAAUUCCGGGUGGAGUGGUGAAAUGCGUAGAGAUCCGGAGGAAUACCGAAGGCGAAGGCAGUGUCCUGGGAGGCGCCUGACGCUGAGGGGCGAAAGCCAGGGGAGCGAACGGGAUUAGAUACCCCGGUAGUCCUGGCCGUAAACGAUGACCAUUAGGCGUGUGGGGUAUCGACCCCCUGCGUGCCG
rnacentral:rRNA from 1 species